rnacentral:rRNA from 1 species
GAUGAACGCUGGCGGCGUGCCUAAUACAUGCAAGUCGAACGAGGUGCUUGAGUAGCAAUACGAGAGUAUCCUAGUGGCGAACGGGUGAGUAACGCGUUGGUGACCUACCCCAAGUGUGGGAUAACAGUCCGAAAGGAUUGCUAAUACCGCAUGUGGUCUUCGGGUUUAGAAACCGAUGACGAAAGCAGCAAUGCGCUUUGGGAGGGACCUGCGUCCCAUCAGCAG